GAUGAACGCUGGCGGCGUGCCUAAUACAUGCAAGUCGAGCGAAUGGAUUAAGAGCUUGCUCUUAUGAAGUUAGCGGCGGACGGGUGAGUAACACGUGGGUAACCUGCCCAUAAGACUGGGAUAACUCCGGGAAACCGGGGCUAAUACCGGAUAACAUUUUGAACUGCAUGGUUCGAAAUUGAAAGGCGGCUUCGGCUGUCACUUAUGGAUGGACCCGCGUCGCAUUAGCUAGUUGGUGAGGUAACGGCUCACCAAGGCAACGAUGCGUAGCCGACCUGAGAGGGUGAUCGGCCACACUGGGACUGAGACACGGCCCAGACUCCUACGGGAGGCAGCAGUAGGGAAUCUUCCGCAAUGGACGAAAGUCUGACGGAGCAACGCCGCGAGAGUGAUGAAGGCUUUCGGGUCGUAAAACUCUGUUGUUAGGGAAGAACAAGUGCUAGUUGAAUAAGCUGGCACCUUGACGGUACCUAACCAGAAAGCCACGGCUAACUACGUGCCAGCAGCCGCAGUAA
rnacentral:rRNA from 1 species